rnacentral:rRNA from 1 species
AUUGAACGCUGGCGGCAGGCUUAACACAUGCAAGUCGAGCGAGCGGCGGCCGGGUGAGUAAUGUCUGGGAAACUGCCUGAUGGAGGGGGAUAACUACUGGAAACGGUAGCUAAUACCGCAUACCAUCAGAUGUGCCCAGAUGGGAUUAGCUAGAAGGUGGGGUAAUGGCUCACCAAGGCGACGAUCCCUAGCUGGUCUGAGAGGAUGACCAGCCCCACGAGAACUGAGACACGGGCCAGACUCCUACGGUAGGCAGCAGUGGGGAAUAUUGCACAAUGGGCGCAAGCCUGAUGCAGCCAUGCCGCUUGUAUGAAGAAGGCCUUCGGGUUGUAAAGCACUUUCAGCGAGGAGGCGUUGCUCGCAGAAGAAGCACCGGCUAACUCCGUGCCAGCAGCCGCGGUAAUAC